rnacentral:misc_RNA from 1 species
CUGAGUGAGGGCCCUCUGGGUCCAACCUCCCACCCGUGUUUAUUGUACCUUGUUGCUUCGGCAGGCCCGCCUCACGGCCGCCGGGGGGCUUCUCGCCCCCGGGCCCGCGCCUGCCGGAGACACCCUUGAACGCUGUCUGAAGUUUGCAGUCUGAGCGAUUAGCUAAAUUAGUUA